rnacentral:misc_RNA from 1 species
GUAGGUGAACCUGCGGAAGGAUCAUUAACACGUGAAUACUCACGUAUUAAACUAACCGUGAACUGUUGUAUCCCCUGGUGUAGAACAUAGGUGACAAGAUUGUGAAUUUGGUGCGAGAUGAAAGUCUCUUCCUUUCUUGUCUGUUGAGCGAUCGAGUUAACUCUUGAUAGAGCUCAUGCCCAUGCCUGCAUACAGAAGACUAAUUGCCAAUGCUUAUUCAUGCCUGCGCCAAUGGCUUGCAUUGUGUGGUGCUAUUUUUAACCCCUUUUAUUAUUAUUUCUGAUGUGUAUGCUUAUCUGAAUUCCCUUAAUUGGUUGAGUUCGAUAAGUGUCGUAUAUAUUUAAUACGAAACAACUCUUAGCAACGGAUAUCUUGGUUCUC